CACGUACUGUGCGAACGUUAUUCGGAAUCACUGGGCUUAAAGGGUACGUAGGCGGUUUGGCAAGUCAGAUGUGAAAUGCCACAGCUCAACUGUGGCACUGCGUUUGAAACUGCCAGACUAGAGUAUUUCAGGGGUGUGCGGAACUUAUGGUGGAGCGGUGAAAUGCGUUGAUAUCAUGAGGAACACCGGAGGCGAAGGCGGCACACUGGGGGAUAACUGACGCUGAGGUACGAAAGCCAGGGUAGCGAACGGG
rnacentral:rRNA from 1 species